rnacentral:rRNA from 1 species
UACGUAGGGUCCGAGCGUUGUCCGGAAUUACUGGGCGUAAAGAGCUCGUAGGUGGUUUGUCGCGUUGUUCGUGAAAACUCACAGCUCAACUGUGGGCGUGCGGGCGAUACGGGCAGACUAGAGUACUGCAGGGGAGACUGGAAUUCCUGGUGUAGCGGUGGAAUGCGCAGAUAUCAGGAGGAACACCGGUGGCGAAGGCGGGUCUCUGGGCAGUAACUGACGCUGGAGGAGCGGAAAGCGUGGGGAGCGAACAGG